rnacentral:rRNA from 1 species
UGGGGAAUAUUGCACAAUGGGCGGAAGCCUGAUGCAGCGACGCCGCGUGGGGGAUGACGGCCUUCGGGUUGUAAACUCCUUUCGACCGCGAGGAAGCCACCUGGUUGGAAGGGUGGUGACGGUAGUGGUAGAAGAAGCACCGGCUAACUACGUGCCAGCAGCCGCGGUAAUACGUAGGGUGCGAGCGUUGUCCGGAUUUACUGGGCGUAAAGAGCUCGUAGGUGGCUUGUCGCGUCGUCUGUGAAAGUCUGGGGCUUAACUCCGGGUGUGCAGGCGAUACGGGCUGGCUUGAGUGCUGUAGGGGAGACUGGAAUUCCUGGUGUAGCGGUGGAAUGCGCAGAUAUCAGGAGGAACACCGAUGGCGAAGGCAGGUCUCUGGGCAGUCACUGACGCUGAGGAGCGAGAGCAUGGGUAGCGAACAGG